GGGGCAUUAGCUCAGCUGGGAGAGCACUGGAUUUGCAAUUCAGAUGUCACCGGUUCGAACCCGGUAUGCUCCACCA
rnacentral:tRNA from 1 species